rnacentral:rRNA from 1 species
GGGCCCGCACAAGCGGUGGAGUAUGUGGUUUAAUUCGAUGCAACGCGAAGAACCUUACCAGGGUUUGACAUCCUGCGAAUCUCUUGGAAACGAGAGAGUGCCCUUCGGGAACGCAGUGACAGGUGGUGCAUGGCUGUCGUCAGCUCGUGUCGUGAGAUGUUGGGUUAAGUCCCGCAACGAGCGCAACCCACGUCUUUAGUUGCCAGCAUUUAGUUGGGCACUCUAGAGAGACUGCCGGUGAUAAAACCCGGAGGAAGGUUGGAUGCGUCAAGUCAUCAUGCCCCUUACGGCCAGGGCUACACACGUGGCUACAAUGGUCGGUACAAAGGGUUGCUACACAGCGAUGUGAUG